rnacentral:rRNA from 1 species
GAUGAACGCUGGCGGCGUGCCUAAUACAUGCAAGUCGAGCGAACAGACGAGGAGCUUGCUCCUCUGACGUUAGCGGCGGACGGGUGAGUAACACGUGGAUAACCUACCUAUAAGACUGGGAUAACUUCGGGAAACCGGAGCUAAUACCGGAUAAUAUAUUGAACCGCAUGGUUCAAUAGUAAAAGACGGUUUUGCUGUCACUUAUAGAUGGAUCCGCGCCGCAUUAGCUAGUUGGUAAGGUAACGGCUUACCAAGGCAACGAUGCGUAACCGACCUGAGGGGGUGAUCGGCCACACUGGAACUGAGACACGGUCCAGACUCCUACGGGAGGCAGCAGUAGGGAAUCUUCCGCAAUGGGCGAAAGCCUGACGGAGCAACGCCGCGUGAGUGAUGAAGGUCUUCGGAUCGUAAAACUCCGUUAUUAGGGAAGAACAAAUGUGUAAGUAACUAUGCACGUCUUGACGGUACCUAAUCAGAAAGCCACGGCUAACUACGUG